rnacentral:rRNA from 1 species
AGAGUUUGAUCCUGGCUCAGAGCGAACGCUGGCGGCAGGCCUAACACAUGCAAGUCGAACGGACCCUUCGGGGUUAGUGGCGGACGGGUGAGUAACACGUGGGAACGUGCCUUUAGGUUCGGAAUAGCUCCUGGAAACGGGUGGUAAUGCCGAAUGUGCCCUUCGGGGGAAAGAUUUAUCGCCUUUAGAGCGGCCCGCGUCUGAUUAGCUUGUUGGUGAGGUAAUGGCUCACCAAGGCUACGAUCAGUAGCUGGUCUGAGAGGAUGACCAGCCACAUUGGGACUGAGACACGGCCCAAACUCCUACGGGAGGCAGCAGUGGGGAAUCUUGCGCAAUGGGCGAAAGCCUGACGCAGCCAUGCCGCGUGUAUGAUGAAGGUCUUAGGAUUGUAAAAUACUUUCACCGGUGAAGAUAAUGACUGUAGCCGGAGAAGAAGCCCCGGCUAACUUCGUG